GACGUAGGGCGCGAGCGUUGUCCGGAUUUAUUGGGCGUAAAGAGCUCGUAGGCGGCUUGUCGCGUCGAAUGUGAAAACUCGGGGCUCAACUCCGAGCUUGCAUUCGAUACGGGCAGGCUAGAGUUCGGUAGGGGAGACUGGAAUUCCUGGUGUAGCGGUGAAAUGCGCAGAUAUCAGGAGGAACACCGGUGGCGAAGGCGGGUCUCUGGGCUGACACUGACGCUCAUGCACGAAAGCGUGGGGAGCAAACAGG
rnacentral:rRNA from 1 species